CCUACGGGCGGCAGCAGUGGGGAAUAUUGGACAAUGGGCGAAAGCCUGAUCCAGCCAUGCCGCGUGUGUGAAGAAGGCCUUCGGGUUGUAAAGCACUUUCAGUGGGGAAGAAAGCCUUGGGGCUAAUACCCUCGAGGAAGGACAUCACCCACAGAAGAAGCACCGGCUAACUCCGUGCCAGCAGCCGCGGUAAUACGGAGGGUGCGAGCGUUAAUCGGAAUUACUGGGCGUAAAGCGCGCGUAGGCGGUCUGAUAAGCCGGUUGUGAAAGCCCCGGGCUCAACCUGGGAACGGCAUCCGGAACUGUCAGGCUAGAGUGCAGGAGAGGAAGGUAGAAUUCCCGGUGGAGCGGUGAAAUGCGUAGAGAUCGGGAGGAAUACCAGUGGCGAAGGCGGCCUUCUGGACUGACACUGACGCUGAGGUGCGAAAGCGUGGGUAGCAAACAGGAUUAGAUACCCUUGUAGUC
rnacentral:rRNA from 1 species